UACAGAGGGGGCAAGCGUUGUUCGGAAUUACUGGGCGUAAAGGGCGCGUAGGCGGCCUUCUAAGUCGAACGUGAAAUCCCCGGGCUCAACCCGGGAACUGCGUCCGAUACUGGAAGGCUUGAAUCCGGGAGAGGGAUGUGGAAUUCCAGGUGUAGCGGUGAAAUGCGUAGAUAUCUGGAGGAACACCGGUGGCGAAGGCGGCACUCUGGGCCGAUACUGACGCUGAGGAGCGAAAGCGUGGGGAGCGAACAUG
rnacentral:rRNA from 1 species